rnacentral:misc_RNA from 1 species
UUCAUAUCCUAUAGGCUCCUCAUAGACCGCAAAUAUGAGUUAUAAGGUAUUUGAAUACACUUACAAUUGCAUCACAAAACAAAACCUCAAUCCUAUAAAUACAACUUUGAGUAGGCAAGCCUACAAGUCCCGUUAAGCCAUAAAUGAAAAAACUAUCCAAGUUCCAAGUCCUUGAAUGUGGAAUUUCUUCAUGUAUUAUGAACCUACAUCAUCGUCAAUCUGGCUAGAUCAUUGUUAUUUAUAGGCUACGCUUUCAGGACAAUUCAAGGAUCAUGAUUUUGGUAGCUAUGCGCUGAGAGUAAUGCUUUAAUCUGAUAAAAUUAGUUGGUUAAUAAUCUAGUUACACUACUAUGAAUAUAUACCAUAACCAGAAAGCAAAGUGUAUUUGACAAAAGCUUUGUGAGAAUUGAAGUAUUAACAUUUUGACAAAUUGAAGUCUUAGCAAUCACGGGAAAAAACCUAAAAUCUGAGAUAUGAUAUCUAAUUAGAAGAAGAAAGAACUAAAACAAAG